ACUUGAUGGGCUGGGACUUAAGGAUUAAAUGCACGUGGGAUACCCUGGGAAACUAGGAGCGGAUGGAAUACGCGGAAAUACCCAGGGGACAGAAUUCGGUCCGGCUUUCUGCUCCUCGGCCAGAGAAUGCUCCUGUGGUUCAUGCCCCUCCUCCAGAGGCUUCUCCAGUUAGGACCUAACUAACACCUUCCUCCACUCCUCCUGGCCUUCUAGAUCUGAAACUCCAGGCCUAGAGGUAGCUUGGCAGUGCACCGCCUUCGCCCUCGACUGCCGUCUCCCUGGCUAGUCUAUAUAAACACAAACCUGAACAAACCCAGCAUGUCUGGCAGGCAAAAGGAAGCUCUGUGGCAACCACUCCCGGAGCCCGAAUUGAAAGGAGCUCUAGACUUCUCCAGUAAAACCCAGGGGUCAGCAGUAUCUGCAACACCCAGGAACUCCUUAAGAAGGAGCGUGGGUUCAAGAUUGCAAGUUAGCCUAAGGCCAGCCUCAGCUACCAGGCAACAUUCCUUCCCCCCUACCCUCGAAGGAAAGAAACCGCCCAGGUCUGACCUGCAGGUCAAACAAGACUGUCAGGUGAUUCCUACACAAGGUGAUCAAAGGCGUGGUAGCACACGCCUUUGAUCCUAGAACUCGGGAGGCAGAGGCAGGCAGAUCUCUGUGAGUUUGAGAUCAGCCUAGUCUACAAGAGAUAGUUCCAGGACAGUCUCCAAAGCCACAGAGAAACCCUGUCUCGAAAAACCCAAAAAAGAAAAGAAAAAAAGAAAAGCAUCAGCUCUCUCCCCCCUCUCGCUGCGUUUGAAUUCGGGGAGGAGAGGAGCAGAGCAAGAUCUCUGCACCGGCCCGGCCAGGUUCGCGGAGCAAAUUUAGGAGCAUGAAUGCAAGGUUACCUGGCUUGUCCUAAGUUGCUCCAAAUAGAGAAAACUAGUUUUUUUAGUCAGAGGGAGGGAUGGCUGGUUGGAGAGUGCUAGCAAAGUAGCAGGGCCAAAUCUGCCCAGCAGGGGUGUUUGUUGGCCUUCAUUUAAAAAAAAAAAAAAAAAUUUACAACACUUAAAAGGAAUGGCCACACAGUGCAGGUGAGUGACUUUCCUAAAAAAGUCAACUCUGGCCGCCGUUCUCCAGGCACUCCCUUUGCCUACUUGCCCGUCUGACUUCUGUGGAAACUCUGAACACACCAGGAGCAGGGACUGACUGCGUGUUACUCUCCAGCACAGGGCCUGGUUCUCAGUGUGGCUCGAGAACCCCGACUAAUACAGUGAGUGAGAACCUUCUGCCUUGACUGAGGUACUGCAUUCCUCAAGGUCUCAGAUGCAGUGGCAGUCUGUCCUUUCACUAAUGUGAAAAAGAUGCAAAAGUGCACUGGUAGGUGUGUACCUUUGCAUGCAACCCUCUAAGAACCUUUUGGAGAGUGCUUCCUAAGCACCAAAAGCUGCCCUUAAUGUUUGACAGUCCCUCAUUUAGUUGACUCUACUUUUCCCAGGUGCUAAUGCUGAUCACUAUAGGAUCCUAAGUUUCUUGCCUACCUGUAUGCUUGUUGCCGCUUAGGCUUUUCUAGUGGUUUAUUGUGUAAGGUGAUAAGCUCCCUCCCUUUAUUUUUGAAGUCUUGCUUUAUAGCCCAGGCUAACCUCUAACUCACUGUAUAACCUCAAAUUUACAGCAAUCCCCCUGUCUUCAGCCUACAUAGUACUCCAACAUACUUUUUAACUUCAGUUGAUUAACAAUGGAGGCAGUUGGGCUAGAGAGAUGGCUCAGCUGUUAAAGGUUAGACUCACAACCAAAAAUGUAAGCACAAUGGAGGCAGUUGCAAAAAAUGGCAAAACUCCUUUUGGAGGUAUUUAAACACAAGCUGGACAGGUAACCUGCCACAUAUGCCCUGGAAAAUAUCUGAAGUUAGCAUAGUGACCAUCUAACUGCCAAUUCCAACAUUCACCUUUUUGAUAACACCAAAGGACAAAGAAUCUGGGGCAGGUAACUUGAUAUGACUAAGAAAAAUCAGAACCACAACAGGUUGCUGAUAUCAGACAAGACACAGAGCAGAUGGUCUCCAAGGACAAGUUCAUUUUGUCUUUAGAGGGCAAAUCUGACAAGUGCAGGCUGUGGACCCUGAGAGCCAUGGGGAACUCCUGGGUCAGCUAGUUCUUCACUGUAUGAAUGGCACCAAGUUGUUUGAUAGCUCUGAGUUUUUAUUUCACGUGUUAAAUGUGAGUAUCAUUGUGAGAAACAAACAAACCAAUGAACAGAAAGCUUGUAGCAUGGCUCCAGGUAGAUAGUAAAGCCUAAGGAAUAGCAGCUGCGAUUACUAGAGGUGGAGAGUGGUCACUUUCAAAUGUGUUCCAUGUGUCAAUCUUUUAAUGUACCAACAUAGUCCUAUCCUUGAGUGCUGAACUGUUUUGCCAGUCUCUGAGAGCACUGGUGGACCAAGCCCUUCAUCCUGAAACCAAGGAUUCAGAACACAGCAG